UUAUCUUUGGUUAUCUAGCUGUAUGAGUGGUGUCGAUUCUUCAUAAAGCUAGAUAACCGAAAGUAAAAAUAACCCCAUUACACGCCUGAGGAGGAUGUGGAGAAGAAAGGAAAUUCAUCGGGAGGAAGAGAAGGAAAACAAAAAGAAAAAUGAAAGAGAAAGAAAGAAAGAAGACGAAGGAAAGGAGAGGCGGAAAAAAGAAAGAACAGAGGGGAGGAAAAAAAAAAAAAGACAACUUUUUGAGACUGGAAUUAAAACCGAGGUAGGAUUUCAUGAUUUCUUCAUUUCAAGACCUGAUUUGUCUCCUUUUAAGCAAGCAUUUUCUGGUUCCGCCUUGAGCAAAAUGGGGACGGUGCCGUUCUUUGCUCGGCUGCUGACUAUAAUUGAAUUAACAAAGUAAAACUUCCCAUCAGAUUGUGAAUUAGUGAAGCACAGGACCCAGACUGCAGAUCGAGGAUGAACUCUCAUUGCGUAACCUCUCGUAUAGCAUCGCAGAACCCAUAAAUCAAUACAGAUUACCGUGCUGGAUUAUCUGUUUAAUAAAGCAGCAACCGAGCACUGUUUAUUAAUGGUUGUUUUGCAAAUAUGAACACUGGAUUCUUUUCCUUUUUUCUCUUCUCCCCACCCCCCCCCCAACCCCCCCACUAUUUCCAAUCUAUUUAGCUUCAUUCCCUGACAGAGAUAACUUGGUAUCCAGAUUAGAAAGAGCGAUGCAGUGAUUUGGAAAAUGGUUUCUUGCAGCUUUCUUUGUGUUAUUUUAUUUUUUUUUAUUAUUCCCUCUUUUUGUACCUCUAUCCAAACGCUCCCUUUCUUCUUUCAACCCUCUGCCUGUGAACGUUUCUUUGAUCCAAGAUUGGGGUUUUAUUAACAAAACUAUCUAUUUAAUUUGCCUUUGAAGCAGCGCGAGACGAAUGGGGGGGGAAACUUGAUUUUUUUUCUAUUAUUUCUUCUCUCCGAAUGCCAAUUCACACCAAUCUUCGCUCCCUUCACUGUGUUAUCUCUUGGCCCCUUCUUAUGGAAUCCAGGAUUUCUACUUGCUCUGCUUUAGAAGGGGACUGGGGUUCAUGGAUGUGCAUUGGGCGCUCCCCACCCACUGCUAUGGCCAGGCUGCUUAGAUGCCACCCGCCCAACCUGGCGGCCCAUUUGGACAAUGUCUUGAUGCUGCUUCAAAGAACACAAAGCUCUCCGUGUGGGUUAGGAUAUAUGUUACAUACCAUCUCAUAACGGUCAUUCCAAGGGUUGGGGGGGUUGCAAAGCUCUUAAUAAAAAAUGUAUAUGAGCCUUAGCGGCCGAACUGAUGUUGGAAAGGAGUCUUUAGAGCAUUGCACCUUGGGAGAGGUGUAGAAAAAGAGCUGGCUUUUGACCUGUGCUGGACCUGCUCAUUUUGCUCUUGUGCUCAUCAGAACCUUAUUAUUAUUAUUAUAUUUUUUAAAGGGAGAGGGAGAGUGGAAGAAACUGUCCCUGGGACCUUGUGCAGGGGGAGGCUGUAGUUCAGGAUGCGGUGUGAGAUGAGUCAUGCUCCUAUGAUGACUUUAAUUUAAUAAACAAAGCCAUUUUCACCUCCUCACCCACAGCCCCAUAAUUCAGACUCACUCGGUGCAUGUGCCACCUCCCUGCACCCAUUUCCUUGGGGAUGAGUCCAGGAAACACCCCCUGCCCACACCCUUCUGGGUGUGCUCGGGUGCUGCUCUUGUCCUGCAGCCGAGGGUGCUGGGGCAGAGGGACAUUUCUUUGUGCUCUCAUUGCAUCCCCUGCUGCUGCUCCAGGCUGGUGGCACAUCCCAGGCCGGGGCCAUGUGGCUGAGAGUGGAGGGAUGGAGAGCACUGAGUCCAUGGACGGUUUCUAUGGGGCUUGUCCUGUGCCUGAGCAUGGGAUGGAGUCAGCCGCCUGGCUUUGGUGGCAGCAGGAUGUCACUGUGCUGCUGUCCCCUUUGAGGUGCCCGGUGCCACCAGCAGAUGUUUGGGUGCGGGUGGGCAUCGGGCACAGCUGUGUGUCCUCGUGCAAGAGGCUCACUGGGGACAAUGCAGUGGGUGAGGUGCUUUUAUUGCUGGGGAGCAGCCACGUGCCACCCUCUGUUGAACAGUGGAUUGGGUCUGGGUGGGGGGAGGGGGAGUGGUGGAAGGACGGUGCCAAUCAGGGGCUGGGAGCAGCGUGCCAUCAUCUUUUGGUUUUCCCAGGUGACCAAUCCUGGUGGGCACGGGGCCGAGGCGGUGCUGCCAUAGGCUGUGGUGUGAUGCUGUCACCUGCUCGGCUCUAACAAAGGCAUGGGCAGAGAUGGGGCUGGUGACCUGGGAUGAGGGCAAAGCUCUGUGGGGAAUUUGGUGACCCAUGGAGUAGGGGAUGCUCAUUGUCCAAGCCAUUCCCUGCUCAACCAUCCCUACUGGGUGCAAUCCUGCACUCCUAAGAGGGAAUCGAUACUCAGCAGCCCCAUUUCUCCCACCCCAUGGGGCUCGGGAUGCUGUCAGAUGCUCUCUGUCUUAGCAGAACUUCUUUACAGUCUCAUGUCACUGCGGCAGGUGAGCAUGAGCAUGGCCAUCCCAAGGCCUUUGGGAGCUGGAAUCCUGCAGGCAGCUGUCCCCGACCCUUAUUUAUUUCCUCCUCUCCCCACUUUGCUCCCAGAGUGUUCUGGCAGUAGGAGCACUGUGUGUUGGCAUGACGUUGAUCUAAAUUGCAGCUUAUAUGUGGCUGUUUAAGCUUGCUUGGACACUGUGAUUUGAGUGGUUAACACUCAGCACUGUCUGCUCGCCUCUCCCUUGUGUCUACCUAACUGCUGGAGACGUUAAUGGGAGAGAUGCUUGCAUGUUCUGUAUUGAGCGCUCAGCCCUCCGUGUCCUUUCUCAUGCUUGAAGCAGAGUGGUUGGAGCAAAGAAAGGAGUAAAGGCGAUACUAAUUAAUCACCGGGUCAGUGAGUGAUUGAGAAGAACCGGCUUAUACAGAUGUAACCAUUGACAAAUGGUGAUUUCAAUUCAGUGCAUCGUUUUCACCUUGAAAUACCCUAGGAAUGAACCUGAGGUUGACUUGCCUUUGCCUUAAACAAAUGGCUGGAGCCUUCCGAGGUCUCCAGCCCUCGUCAUCCCCACUGUGACCCAUUGGGUUUCUCGUGCUAUGGGCCAGGGAGGUGGAGAAUAGUGCGGUCACAAAGAAACCGUGUGUGUGUGCGUGUCUAAAUGCAGGAAUAUCUAUGUUUCAAACUCCAAGUAAUUGCAGCAGGGUUGCAGUGCUCAUGGAUGGAUUCUGGUGAUGCUCACGAGGGAGCAGUGGGGUUUUGGGGUCUGUGCCUCACCCUGUUCCCAAGGCAAUGCUGUUGGGAAUGUCAGGUCUGUGUGGGUCUGCUCCUCGUUGGCCUGGGGCUGUGUCUUUGUGUUGGGAGCAGCCGUUCCUCUCCAAAUAAGCAGGACUCCCAAGCCCUGAGGGUUUCCAAGGGCGUGAUUUUCACGUUGGGAUUAUGACAAAGCGUCUGAGUGGGCGCACUGAGUUCCUGGAGGAACCAAAUUGGGCCCUGUUGAAUUUUGGCAGUGAGAACAGCAUCCCGGGGCUGUGCUCUGCAUGAACGGUGUGCCCCUGAGCUCUGCCCCUGUUGCAGAUUUGGGACAUUGCAGUGCUCUGCAAUGAGUCUUGCCGUGCCCCGCAUUAGCGCUGGGCAUCCCAGUGCUACUUUUUCCCCUAUAGCACAAAAAAAGAAAGCAGUGAGGGGCUUUCUCCAUUCCUAUCCCCUCAGCAAGCCAAUGUGGCACAUGGCAUCCACCAAAUGGGAGUCGACGGGUGCCCUGGGGGGACAGCUGAUGGCAUUUCCCUCGGCAGCAGCAGGGAGGAAAAUGCUGAGCUAGGCACUGGUGGGGCCGGGUCGGUCACUGUGAUGCUCUGAGGGUGAUUGGAUGUGAAAGCAGAGCUGCUGGCUGCUUUCUGGCUCCCCAUUUGCCUCGUGUUGCAGGAGGUUUGGCUGGCCUGGGACAAUGUGACAGCACUGCCAUCGAGAUAGGAGCCUUAAAAGUAGUUCUAGAGCCAUGGUCUGGUUGCCCUGUGGGGUUUUUAGGGAUGGGGAGAGCCAAGUGUGAGUGCUCCGCUCUCUGCCUUCUCUAGAAUGCAAUGGAAAGGCAAUGGCUGCUGGCUGGGGGGCUCGAGAGCAGGCAAGCAUCUGCAAAGCGGUGCUGUCGUGGUGGGUUUCGCAGGAAAAGAUGGGAAAUGCACUGAGAGCUGAAUCACAGGGCAGAUCGCUGAGGUCUGUGAGGGUGGGAGCAGCUCCUGGCUGAAUGUGCUCCGAUCAGCGGUCUCGUGCUGGUGUGACAUGAGGAUUUGCCCUGCUGCUGCUGAGAGCCGGUGCUCGUGGCUACGAUGCUGAGCUGUGUAAUCCCUAAGCUGUGGCUCUGACAGCCCUAGGAGGUGUAAAAAUCAUUCUAAUUCCACUUUCAGGGCUUUUGGUGUCACCAGGGCAGGGACAAAGGGGGCAAUGCCAAGUGUGUGCGCUCGGUCUCAAAUCCCUGCACAUGGAUCUUGGGGAAAAUGUGAUUAAUAAGCGCUGGGGAUGAACAUGGGUGUGUGUGAUGGGGGUAUUAACCACCCCAAAGUUGUUUUGUUUGGAGGAAAAAAGUGUGUAUAUAUAUGUCUGUCCUUGGAUCCAUUUUGUUCCCUUUGAUAGAUACUGUGUGGGUAAUGGGGAGGAGAUGAGGGGCUGCAGGACUGUGAUUCCCUUUUGGAAGCACUGAGUGCUCCUUGGGAAGGAGGAAGAGCUUCCCUUGAGGUGUUAGCUUUGUUCCAGCCCUUCCUCCUGCUCUAACUUUCAGUCAGUGUCAAAGGGAGGGAAGCCUACAAUUAGGACUGGUGGGUUCUGAGUGGGUUCCUCAGCCCCAAGCGGGUUUUGUGCCCUCCUGAGCCCCUGACGCACCAUGGGCUGCGCCGUCCUCACCUCCCAUGAGUGAGCUGUAGGGGGGGAAAACAAAAUGGAAAGGAAUUGUGUCUUCAGAUGGCCUGGCAGCGUUGUCUGGAGCUGCAUGUGGGGUUGAUGGGAAAGGUGUGGGGAGCUGGGAAUGUAACUCUGGCUGACGAAGGGCAACAGGGAUGGAGUUUGCUUGGAAGCUUGGGUUGAUGCCAUGCAGAGCUGUUGGUGUUCAGGGACUCGUGGGUGCUGCAGAGGGUGAAUGGGCCACCGAUGGCUGCGGGUUCUGCACAGACCCCACCUCCUGGGGAGUUUGCUCCCUUCCUCUGCUUUGGUUUAGCUUCGAACCACCAAAGCCCGGAGAAACCUGCUCCCUAUUAAAGCAUAUCGAGAUAUAACAUAUAAAAACAUGAAGUUUUAUCUCAAGGCCAUUCCAUUCCAGAGGAGCUGGGUGCUUUCUGGAGCACGCGCUGCGCACGGCCGUAGAACCCACGGCUGCAAGGCUCUCUGCUUUGCGGGUUGCCAUGGAAAACCAGGAUUAUUCAGCUUGUGCAUGGGCAGAGGGGGCCAGCACCAUCGUUUUGAACAUGCACCGUGCUGGCCCUGGUGGGAGCCUCGGCAUCCUCCCUGCUCUCCUCCCGCAGCCCCAGCCCCUUGGCUGGGCUCUUAUCUCCAAUAAUCCUCCCAUAAGAGGGCUUUCUGCUUGUUAUGACACCCAGUGAAAGCGUGGGAGAAAGAUCCUUUCUUCACCCUUGUCCUCCGCAGCCAGCCACUAGCCUGAAUGGGAGGCUUUUUUGUGUCCCUGUGUGCCUGACUAAUUGAGCUGAAGGACUUGCGUCUGGAAGGGCUUGAAAGGGACUUUUGUUGCUGCUGCAGAGUUUGUGGAAGGCGAAUGAGCACUGCUUUCUUAAGGGAUGCAGGUCCUGGGCAAAUUUGACUCUCGAGUGCUCACGCCUCUGAGGUCUUUGGGAAAAUUAGGAGGAAAAAAAAAAAAAGGGUGGUGGGUUUGCUUGCUUGCUUUCUUUUUUUUUUUUUUUUUCCUUGCUGAAAAAUGGAGUCUGGCCCCCAAAUGCUUUGUGAGCCGGCUUUAAAACAGGGCUGAGAAAGCACUGAGAUAAGAAAAUGGUGGUUUAAAAAUAACCACGCCGCCUCCUGCGUCCUCAGGGCUGACACUCGGAGCACAAAUCCCCUCCGUGACCUCAGGAGGAAUUGAGGUUCCACCAUCCAACGGCGCUUCCCAGCUGUGUUCUGCCCCGUCAUGCUGCGAGCUGAUGGGCACUGAGCGCCCCCAGCACUGCCCACACCCCUCCGUUCGCUGCUGCAAAAUCCUCUUUCCCUUUUUGCCUUUGCUGUGAUGGAAGGGGUGGGAAGUCGGGGUUCUUGACGCAGGUGCUUUCCUUAGGGCAUGGGGUUGUCCCAUGGGUGCUGUCUGUGCAUGGAAGGGUGCAGAAGCACUCGGCAUCGCUCUGUGCGCGGUGCUUCCAAUGGGCCCUCGUUCAUUUCUCAGGACAUCCUCAUCCAGGAUGGGGAAAACUGGGGAUGUGCAACAGAAUGCAGCCGGGCUUUCUGACAGCAGUGCAGAUGUGGCCAUUGGUGCAACUGGGGGAGGGUGCUCGGCUGCCCAAUCUCACCCCAGCCACAUUUCCCUGCACAGUGCACCUUGCGGACAUUUCCUUGAUGCUGCUGGAGAUGAUGAGGGGUAAAUGCAUCGACAGAGCUGGAAAGUCCAAGUGAGGACCAAGGCCUCGCAUCCCCCUGUGGCGGCCAUCCAAAAUCACUCAGCCUUUUUCUCUCCCCUGAUCUCCAACUGAUCUGCAAACUGUGGUUUCUCUUAUCACCUCAAUGUAAAAAUUCUUCUUCUUUUUCCUUCCCUUUAUCAUUUUUCCUUUUUUACCCUUCUCCUCCCCAGCCAUGUAAUUCCCCAAGCUGCCAGGCUGCACUCCUAUAGACAUGGAUAGACGUGUUCCCUUUGCCAGUGGGGUUCUGGCACAAAGCAGCUGUAAGCAUUUUUGGAAGCUGACUUCCAAUGGGGUGGGAUGGAGGCUGUGUGUGUUGGCGUUUCCAUGCCCCCAAAGCACCGCUUUGUGCCUCGGGGCGACCAAAAUGAUCUCCUUGGGGCCAAAGAGGUGAUGAGAAACAGAGCAGAAGGGGGUGGGCUUUCUUCUAUUUUUUUUUUUCUUUUUCUUUCUUUUUUUUUUUUUUCUGGGGGAAUACAAUGUGAUGAAUUCAGCGCGAGGGCCAGCGCCAUCCUUUAAUAUACUUUCAGCUAAACAGGGGUUUCUAUGGCAGCCGGGAGAACCAGGCGAGCCCUGAAAAGAUGUUUGUGCACAGCUUUGCCAAUGGCAUUCGUGGCG
ensembl:lncRNA